GAGUUAAUGUUUCAUAAUUGUUCAAUUGCUAACUCAAGUAGCGAUUUGUUUUUAAUUGUAGUGCUACCUAGAGUACAUAGGGAAAUUUCAAUGGAGCGGUGAAAUGCGUAGACUUUGCAAAAGAACACCAAUGUCAAAAGCAUUCUGUUAGAUUGUACUGACAUCGAGAGACAAAAGGCAGGGGAGCGAAUGUGAUUAGAUAUCCUAGUAGUCCUAGCCAUAAACAAUGGAUACUAGGCACAUGUGUGUAUCGACAUGUGCAUUGUUGAAGUAAAACACCUC
rfam:Beta vulgaris subsp. vulgaris Bvchr3.sca009.con0006.1, whole genome shotgun sequence.